AUACGGAGGAUCCGAGCGUUAUCCGGAUUUAUUGGGUUUAAAGGGUGCGUAGGUGGUUUUGAUAAGUCAGCGGUGAAAGUUUGCAGCUUAACUGUAAAAAUGCCGUUGAAACUGUCGGACUUGAGUGUAAAUGAGGUAGGCGGAAUGCGUGGUGUAGCGGUGAAAUGCAUAGAUAUCACGCAGAACUCCGAUUGCGAAGGCAGCUUACUAAGCUACAACUGACACUGAAGCAACGAAAGCGGUGGGGAUAC
rnacentral:rRNA from 1 species